rnacentral:rRNA from 1 species
UACAGAGGUCUCAAGCGUUGUUCGGAUUCAUUGGGCGUAAAGGGUGCGUAGGUGGCGCGGUAAGUCGGGUGUGAAAUUUCGGAGCUUAACUCCGAAACUGCAUUCGAUACUGCCGAGCUUGAGGACUGGAGAGGAGACUGGAAUUUACGGUGUAGCAGUGAAAUGCGUAGAUAUCGGGAGGAACACCAGUGGCGAAGGCGACUUUCUGGCUGCUAACUGACGCUGAGGCGCGAAAGCUAGGGGAGCGAACGGG